rnacentral:rRNA from 1 species
GUGGGGAAUCUUGCGCAAUGGGCGAAAGCCUGACGCAGCCAUGCCGCGUGAAUGAUGAAGGUCUUAGGAUUGUAAAAUUCUUUCACCGGGGACGAUAAUGACGGUACCCGGAGAAGAAGCUCCGGCUAACUUCGUGCCAGCAGCCGCGGUAAUACGAAGGGGGCUAGCGUUGCUCGGAAUUACUGGGCGUAAAGGGCGCGUAGGCGGACAGCUUAGUCAGAGGUGAAAGCCAAGGGCUCAACCUUGGAAUUGCCGUUGAUACUGGCUGUCUUGAGUUUUGGAGAGGUGAGUGGAACUCCGAGUGUAGAGGUGAAAUUCGUAGAUAUUCGGAAGAACACCAGUGGCGAAGGCGACUCACUGGCCCAAUACUGACGCUGAGGCGCGAAAGCGUGGGGAGCAAACAGGAUUAGAAACCCCUGUAGUCC